rnacentral:misc_RNA from 1 species
AAAGCUCAGGCAAUUUCUCUUGAGCACUUCCCUUCAGAUGAAAAAGCAGCUGAAGAAACAUUUGGUGCAUCGACUGGAAGUUGCUCAUCUUUAAAGAAAACAAGGGGAAAAGGGAUGGUAGAUGCUUCAGUUUUUAGCUGCCCCACCUUGCCAAAGAAGAGAACGAAUAGGAGGGAAUUCGGUGGAGUUGGUGAUAUUAAACCGUCUGGAUCAUGGACGGAUCCUACUGGAAAGCGAAAGAAGAAGAAGAAACCUGUGGUUGAAGAGUCGUUGCCACAAGAUUUUGUCAACUACUGGCGAGAGCAUUUUAAAGAGAUUGAUGAGUUUGAAUUGCCAGAAGAGGAAGCAUCAUAUAGUGAUUUGGAAUAGAAAGGAGAGGAAUAGUGCUUGUCAGGAAGCAAAUCUAGUCUGA